ACGAACGCUGGCGGCGUGCUUAACACAUGCAAGUCGAACGGAAAGGCCCUGCUUUUGUGGGGUGCUCGAGUGGCGAACGGGUGAGUAACACGUGAGUAACCUGCCCUUGACUUUGGGAUAACUUCAGGAAACUGGGGCUAAUACCGGAUAGGAGCUCCUGCUGCAUGGUGGGGGUUGGAAAGUUUCGGCGGUUGGGGAUGGACUCGCGGCUUAUCAGCUUGUUGGUGGGGUAGUGGCUUACCAAGGCUUUGACGGGUAGCCGGCCUGAGCGGGUGACCGGCCACAUUGGGACUGAGAUACGGCCCAGACUCCUACGGGAGGCAGCAGUGGGGAAUAUUGCACAAUGGGCGGAAGCCUGAUGCAGCAACGCCGCGUGCGGGAUGACGGCCUUCGGGUUGUAAACCGCUUUCGCCUGUGACGAAGCGUGAGUGACGGUAAUGGGUAAAGAAGCACCGGCUAACUACGUG
rnacentral:rRNA from 1 species